rnacentral:rRNA from 1 species
AUGGAGUGGGACAAGGCCUCCGCCGCGGCGGCGGCGGCGGCGGUGGCCGGCGAGCCGGCGGAGGAGAGGGGCGAGGCGCUGGGGUACGUCAAGGUGAUGACGGACGAGCAGAUGGAGGUGCUCCGGAAGCAGAUCUCCAUCUACGCCACCAUCUGCGAGCAGCUCGUCGAGAUGCACCGCGCCCUCACCGCGCACCAGGACUCCAUUGCAGGUAUGAGGCUUGGUAAUCUGUACUGUGAUCCUCUAAUGGUUCACGGAGGCCACAAGAUCACAGCGAGGCAGCGAUGGACACCGACCCAGAUGCAGCUGCAGAUCCUCGAGAGCAUUUUUGACCAAGGAAAUGGAACACCAAGCAAGCAAAAGAUAAAGGAUAUCACAGCCGAGCUCUCGCAGCACGGACAGAUUUCAGAGACCAAUGUCUACAACUGGUUCCAGAACAGACGUGCACGCUCGAAGCGGAAGCAGGCAGCCUCUUCUCUACCAAGUAACACCGAAUCGGAGGCCGAGGGAGACGAGGAUUCCCCGACCGACAAGAAGCCUAGAUCAGACGGGUCACAGCAGCAGGGCAUGGCUGUGAGAGCUCACAACCCCGAGAGGAUCUCGGAGAUGCACCGUCACUUUGACGCAGCAGAGCGUGAGCAGGUCCGCGGUCCGAUGUAUGGGUCCAGCAAUGACAAUGGCCCGAGACCGUCGGGCGGUCUGGGCCAGAUGUCCUUCUACGAGAACGUUAUGUCGAAUCCAAGAAUCGACCAGUUCUUCCAGUACCGGACGGGCGAAAGCUUCGACAUGUCUGGGUGA